UACAUACACACACCAAAAUCAAAGGCGGCCUGCAAACUCUCACCUGAGCUCGUUGAGCCCUGAGCCUUGAGCCGAUUUGUUUCGGUUCGGUUCGGUUCGGUUGGGUUUGGUUUGGUUCAGUUCGGUCGCUUCAGUCACUUAUUGGCAAAUGUUUCGAAGCUGAAAAACGGAGGAAAACUCGGAGGAAAAACGGGGCGGAAUCUGGUGCAAAAAUGCGAAAAAUGUGUAAAUUUGCGCCCGCUUUUAUUUUUCGCAUUUGGCCCGGAUGAUGUGUAGCGGCUGAUCCGCUUUGGCAGCGCUCCCAGACUUCUCGCCAAUCGAUUUCGAUUUGGGAUCGAUGCAGAGCUGGCGCAGCUGUAAACCAUUUAGCCGACGAUGCCGUAGACGUUUAGUAAAUAUUCAAUCAAUUUGGAUGGACAAUAAAUCACCAGGAAAUCAAGAGCGUCUCAAUUUCUCCAAACAGAUAUGCGUCAUAACAAUAAAAAAAGAAGCAUCCCACUUCCCUCACUUUCCCCCAAGUGCGGCAAAUAAACAAGACAAGGCGACAGGCCAUAAUAUAUCAUGGCCCCAAGGCGCCUGACGACAUGACACGAAGAUGGAGAGUCAGCUUCGAAGGACACUGAUGCGUAAUGGCUGCCAGGGGGAUGACAUCGAUCCGGAGCUCCGUCUUCCUAACUGCAAAUCAAUGACAUAUAUUUACGGCAAAUGCGUUUGCCCGCCUGGGCCACAUAGACGGGCAUAAUACGUCGGAAUAAAGUAAUAACCCGAAUAAUAGCAUAUGUCAGCGGGGCCAUUACCUGCCGCUAAUUGCCGUACAAACUUCUCCUGUCGCCGCCUAAGCCGGCCGCCAAUUAAAGCCAAACAAAUGCUGUUGGAGCGCUAAAAGCCCUCAAUCCGGAUCUCACGGCUCCCGAGAGCCAGCCGCAAUGUAAGUGCGGCUCAUAAUUUAUUUCGAUUACGCCGCAGCACGCAAUUUGCGCCGGGCACAUCCUUUUCGAGCACACGGACACGCACAGGAAGUGAGAUAUCCAGGAGCACCGGGAGUGGAACGAGUGGAGCACCAGGGCCAGAGAUAAGUGUGCGCUGCGCGCAAUUUCCGUUUCCGCUUGGUUUGCCCUUAUCCAGCGCUGAUGCUGCGAAAAUCCACUAAGCAACAAUUAAAUCACAGACUCCCGAGAGCAACUCGGGAAGAUAAAAGCGUAGAAUGCAGCAGAAACAAUGUAAGGCAUCGGCCACAUACAGUAGAA
rnacentral:sRNA from 1 species